rnacentral:rRNA from 1 species
CAGUCAUACCAACGGGAAAUCAACCUUUUGAGCUUGGUCUCGUGGGUUUCGAAGAGUUUCAAAGCCUUCGGAUUCGCGAGAUUGGGACCUCCUGGCGUACUUUUUCGUACGGUUAGUCAACAUCGGUUUUGAAUGUCAUAAAAUGACUGGAGGAAUGUAGCUUCGAUCUCGUAUUGAAGUGUUAUAGCCUUUGGUAGAUGUGAUGUUUGAGACCGAGGAUUGCAACGGAUACCCUUCAGGGCUAUUCGUCUGAUCUCUGAUACGUUGCCCUGAUGUUGAAAGCUUGCUUAUGAUGUUAGGGUAUUACGGUCAAAAGGUUAGAACGAAUUACA